rnacentral:rRNA from 1 species
UUAAGCGACUAAGCGUACACGGUGGAUGCCCUGGCAGUCAGAGGCGAUGAAGGACGUGCUAAUCUGCGAUAAGCGUCGGUAAGGUGAUAUGAACCGUUAUAACCGGCGAUUUCCGAAUGGGGAAACCCAGUGUGAUUCGUCACACUAUCAUUAACUGAAUCCAUAGGUUAAUGAGGCGAACCGGGGGAACUGAAACAUCUAAGUACCCCGAGGAAAAGAAAUCAACCGAGAUUCCCCCAGUAGCGGCGAGCGAACGGGGAGCAGCCCAGAGCCUGAAUCAGUGUGUGUGUUAGUGGAAGCGUCUGGAAAGGCGUGCGAUACAGGGUGACAGCCCCGUACACAAAAUAGCACAUAUUGUGAGCUCGAUGAGUAGGGCGGGACACGUGGUAUCCUGUCUGAAUAUGGGGGGACCAUCCUCCAAGGCUAAAUACUCCUGACUGACCGAUAGUGAACCAGUACCGUGAGGGAAAGGCGAAAAGAACCCCGGCGAGGGGAGUGAAAAAGAACCUGAAACCGUGUACGUACAAGCAGUGGGAGCACAGAGCAAUCUGUGUGACUGCGUACCUUUUGUAUAAUGGGUCAGCGACUUAUAUUCUGUAGCAAGGUUAACCGAAUAGGGGAGCCGAAGGGAAACCGAGUCUUAACUGGGCGUUAAGUUGCAGGGUAUAGACCCGAAACCCGGUGAUCUAGCCAUGGGCAGGUUGAAGGUUGGGUAACACUAACUGGAGGACCGAACGACUAAUGUUGAAAAAUUAGCGGAUGACUUGUGGCUGGGGGUGAAAGGCCAAUCAAACCGGGAGAUAGCUGGUUCUCCCCGAAAGCUAUUUAGGUAGCGCCUCGUGAAUUCAUCUCCGGGGGUAGAGCACUGUUUCGGCAAGGGGGUCAUCCCGACUUACCAACCCGAUGCAAACUGCGAAUACCGGAGAAUGUUAUCACGGGAGACACACGGCGGGUGCUAACGUCCGUCGUGAAGAGGGAAACAACCCAGACCGCCAGCUAAGGUCCCAAAGUCAUGGUUAAGUGGGAAACGAUGUGGGAAGGCCCAGACAGCCAGGAUGUUGGCUUAGAAGCAGCCAUCAUCUAAAGAAAGCGUAAUAGCUCACUGGUCGAGUCGGCCUGCGCGGAAGAUGUAACGGGGCUAAACCAUGCACCGAAGCUGCGGCAGCGACGCUUAUGCGUUGUUGGGUAGGGGAGCGUUCUGUAAGCCUGUGAAGGUGUGCUGUGAGGUAUGCUGGAGGUAUCAGAAGUGCGAAUGCUGACAUAAGUAACGAUAAAGCGGGUGAAAAGCCCGCUCGCCGGAAGACCAAGGGUUCCUGUCCAACGUUAAUCGGGGCAGGGUGAGUCGACCCCUAAGGCGAGGCCGAAAGGCGUAGUCGAUGGGAAACAGGUUAAUAUUCCUGUACUUGGUGUUACUGCGAAGGGGGGACGGAGAAGGCUAUGUUGGCCGGGCGACGGUUGUCCCGGUUUAAGCGUGUAGGCUGGUUUUCCAGGCAAAUCCGGAAAAUCAAGGCUGAGGCGUGAUGACGAGGCACUACGGUGCUGAAGCAACAAAUGCCCUGCUUCCAGGAAAAGCCUCUAAGCAUCAGGUAACAUCAAAUCGUACCCCAAACCGACACAGGUGGUCAGGUAGAGAAUACCAAGGCGCUUGAGAGAACUCGGGUGAAGGAACUAGGCAAAAUGGUGCCGUAACUUCGGGAGAAGGCACGCUGAUAUGUAGGUGAAGCGACUUGCUCGUGGAGCUGAAAUCAGUCGAAGAUACCAGCUGGCUGCAACUGUUUAUUAAAAACACAGCACUGUGCAAACACGAAAGUGGACGUAUACGGUGUGACGCCUGCCCGGUGCCGGAAGGUUAAUUGAUGGGGUCAGCGCAAGCGAAGCUCUUGAUCGAAGCCCCGGUAAACGGCGGCCGUAACUAUAACGGUCCUAAGGUAGCGAAAUUCCUUGUCGGGUAAGUUCCGACCUGCACGAAUGGCGUAAUGAUGGCCAGGCUGUCUCCACCCGAGACUCAGUGAAAUUGAACUCGCUGUGAAGAUGCAGUGUACCCGCGGCAAGACGGAAAGACCCCGUGAACCUUUACUAUAGCUUGACACUGAACAUUGAGCCUUGAUGUGUAGGAUAGGUGGGAGGCUUUGAAGUGUGGACGCCAGUCUGCAUGGAGCCGACCUUGAAAUACCACCCUUUAAUGUUUGAUGUUCUAACGUUGACCCGUAAUCCGGGUUGCGGACAGUGUCUGGUGGGUAGUUUGACUGGGGCGGUCUCCUCCUAAAGAGUAACGGAGGAGCACGAAGGUUGGCUAAUCCUGGUCGGACAUCAGGAGGUUAGUGCAAUGGCAUAAGCCAGCUUGACUGCGAGCGUGACGGCGCGAGCAGGUGCGAAAGCAGGUCAUAGUGAUCCGGUGGUUCUGAAUGGAAGGGCCAUCGCUCAACGGAUAAAAGGUACUCCGGGGAUAACAGGCUGAUACCGCCCAAGAGUUCAUAUCGACGGCGGUGUUUGGCACCUCGAUGUCGGCUCAUCACAUCCUGGGGCUGAAGUAGGUCCCAAGGGUAUGGCUGUUCGCCAUUUAAAGUGGUACGCGAGCUGGGUUUAGAACGUCGUGAGACAGUUCGGUCCCUAUCUGCCGUGGGCGCUGGAGAACUGAGGGGGGCUGCUCCUAGUACGAGAGGACCGGAGUGGACGCAUCACUGGUGUUCGGGUUGUCAUGCCAAUGGCACUGCCCGGUAGCUAAAUGCGGAAGAGAUAAGUGCUGAAAGCAUCUAAGCACGAAACUUGCCCCGAGAUGAGUUCUCCCUGACCCUUUAAGGGUCCUGAAGGAACGUUGAAGACGACGACGUUGAUAGGCCGGGUGUGUAAGCGCAGCGAUGCGUUGAGCUAACCGGUACUAAUGAACCGUGAGGCUUAACCUU